UGGCUCAGAUUGAACGCUGGCGGCAGGCCUAACACAUGCAAGUCGAACGGUAGCACAGAGAGCUUGCUCUUGGGUGACGAGUGGCGGACGGGUGAGUAAUGUCUGGGAAACUGCCCGAUGGAGGGGGAUAACUACUGGAAACGGUAGCUAAUACCGCAUAACGUCGCAAGACCAAAGUGGGGGACCUUCGGGCCUCACACCAUCGGAUGUGCCCAGAUGGGAUUAGCUAGUAGGUGGGGUAAUGGCUCACCUAGGCGACGAUCCCUAGCUGGUCUGAGAGGAUGACCAGCCACACUGGAACUGAGACACGGUCCAGACUCCUACGGGAGGCAGCAGUGGGGAAUAUUGCACAAUGGGCGCAAGCCUGAUGCAGCCAUGCCGCGUGUAUGAAGAAGGCCUUCGGGUUGUAAAGUACUUUCAGCGAGGAGGAAGGCGUUGUGGUUAAUAACCGCAGCGAUUGACGUUACUCGCAGAAGAAGCACCGGCUAACUCCGUGCCAGCAGCCGCGGU
rnacentral:rRNA from 1 species